UUACGUUGCGUCUUUGUAAUAUUCGAAUGUUGAAAUGGAGAAUAUUACACAGAAUCAGAUGCACAUAGUUGAUUCUAAUUAAUUUGUGUCAUAUUACACAAAUUAAAUGUAAUAUUGUAUUUGAUGAUGAUAUAACUUUCGAUCUAGCAACACUUCUAUUUUUUCGUCUGCGCAUCGUUUUGUCAUCGACGAGGAUUUGAAAAGGUAUUUUGUGUGAGCCUGUGAACAGAGCACAAAGUGUAUUAUUAUUGAAUUAAAGACACGAUUUAUAGCGUCUUUAAUUGGAAUCAUCAAAAAAACACUUUUGCGACAUUUUCUAAACAUGGAUGAAGAUUGUACUCGACGAUGCGUUAGAUUCCGAUUCCACCGACGGUGGUGCAGUAGAAGCCGGAAUCGCUGUAAAGCAUGCACUCGUCGCAGGAAGACUUCCAUGUAUACGGUUGUACCGCCUCCGGGAUUCAAAAAAACAUUACGAGAAAACAUAUUACAUGGCUAUGCAGACGGCCAGUCAGACUCCGGAAAACGUCGUAGCGGAUACAUCUCAGGCGACCAUACCCGUCAUUGGGUUGACUAUCCCGCGACAGGCUCGUUGAUUGUGUGUGGCCUAUAUUCCGUCCGGUGUCACCCAGGUGAAGAUGAUGCAGUUCAUCUACGAGUUCCUGUUCAGUUUGGCCCGAAUAGCCGACAACUCGGUUCUGGCCUGGCAGCUGAAUCUCGACCAGAAUUUCGUUCGAUUGUCGAAACUACCUAAGCAACGGCAUCCUAAAGCAUCAACUCCAGGGGACAGAGUUUAAAGAUAGAUCGCACAACUAGCAGCCCAUGCCUGGUAUAACCGACUUCGCUCUGCCAGCCUUACCACGUGAAUACGUCCUUUUUGUGGAAUAAUAGGUUUGAUUUCUUUACAAAUAAGUAAACGUUGUUUAAUUCUCAAUUUACCUCUGCGAUAUGAUUAAUAUAGUUGGCCUCAAAUCUCCGUACAAGAAUGUCAUUAGCCCGCUGAAUUUGUGAAUAAGCAUCCGAUGAAUUCGGUUUUAAAAUGAAGAAUAUUAGGAGCAAUAAUUUUUGUCCGGUUGACUUCUCCGUUUUUUUGUGUGUUAACUUUACACUUUAUAUUUUUGUGUUUCGCUCGAUAUAUCGCAUUGAAGUUUUUAAUGUAUUUAUUUAUAAUAUGUUUUCAAUUAUUUCAAGAUCUUUCGGAUGUUUCGAUGUUCAGCCGCUGGGUGCUAGGCAUGCGAUGUUCGAAUUGCUUCUCAUCGGAGAUCAUACACAAUUAGGUUCUUUUAGAGUGAUGCAAGAAGGACAAGAUUUUCCCACUAUUGGCAUGGCAGAGAGGCACUGAACUGGCGGAAAUACUUUGACCUCUUUGCUAGUCGAACUGAAAGGCACUAGGUCGCUUCAUCUCCGUUCUAAAAGAUAUACAUGUCCGGCAAUUCCUUAGUGCAGCAGUGCCUAGGAAGCAUUCUUCACCCGGUGGCACGAUGGUCAAAUGGUUUCGUUUCGGCGAGGUCCUUGUUUGGCAGCGCCGUUGACUCCACGGUUCGACGGCGGCAGCAGUCACCAUCAGCUUAUACAAUUGUUUUUAUUAUAAAAAAUAAAUAUAUUUAUUUCAAAUACAAUGUUUUAUUCUAAAACAGAUAAUACUAUGAGAAAAAUUCACCAACUUCCUUCUUAUCAAGUGAUAAAUAUGCAAAUUAGUAAUUCGAUAAAACCUGUGAACAACAAAAUUACGCUGUACGUUUGUACGUUGUGGUCCAAUACGUCAUCGAUCAGGAUUACAUCGUGAAAAAAAUUACACCGGUGCUAUUACUCACGAAUUGUCGUGUACAUCGAAGGAGUGUAAUAUCACAGCUCUGACGGAAUAGUCGAUGUGCAUCUGUUUCGAAUGUAAUAUUCAACAACUGUUUUUGC